CAGAGCAGAGACCACCGGGCCCGCAGAGCCUGAAGCACUUACCAUCCCGCUCUGCACAGGCUGCCCCGAGCACCGCUGUCUUGGCCGCCCUGUGGCCCAGUGAACUCUGGGAUGGCAGCAACUGGAUGGAGCAAUCAGCCUAGGGAACAUCCCCAGCCCUUGGACACCGCCAGACCUCCCUCCCUCCCUGCCCUGAUGGCACGGCAGAACUCAAGGGUCUUCCCAGGACGGCAGCCCUGUAAGAAAGCACGUCCCUGGAGAGCCUGCAUUCCUGUGGCAUCUCCACUAUUUAUAUUGAAAACACCACAAGAACUCAUUUUUCAUGCUAUUUCAGCUGAAAAGAGCCGUGGCAGGACGCGAGCUGGAGCCGGGGACGGCGGGCGAGCGUGUUUGUGCAGGCGGGGCUCAGCCUGCCGUGCCCCGGGUUGCCUGUCCCAGGUGCACUGGGCGCCGGCCAGGCUUCUUUCUGGGAUACUGGGCCUGAGGAAUGAGGGUAAGUCCAGAGGGGCCGAGGCGCCCCCCUGGACACCUCAUCUCCUCUAAUCUGCAAAAAAACAUGAAAACGCAAGCUGGCUCUCAUACUUGCACCUUGUCCGACAACCUAACAUGGGUCGUUAAUUGAAAUAAAACGAAACCAAAUGCAAGCCAGAUGUUCGAGUAGAUUCUCUUACACACAGUUCAUAUGGAAAUGCCCAAGAUGCGUAUUUGAGGGGCACAGGGUUACCACCCUGUCUCUACCCCAACAACUUGCUUUGAUUCUCUCAUGGCACCAAGGCAACAAGAGAGGAGGAAAAAAAAAAACAGAGACAAAUAAACUAUAAUUUAGGAUUAUUUUUUCUGUUUUGUCCCCGUAAGAAGAUAAACUUCACAAGAGACUAUGUAUGUUGUUCACUGUAGUAUCUUUGAUGGCCAAACACAACCUGGAACAUAAUAAGUGUUCAAUUAAUAGUUGUUUAUGGAACAAGUGCUUAAUUUCUAUAUGCCAGAUGCUCAAUUAAUAGUUGUUUAUGGAACAAAUGCUUAAUUUUAUAUGCCAGUAACAUACAUUACUGUUAUAAUUUUAAAAUGCAUUAUAUAAAAGCAUAUUUCUAACAAGUCCAAGAACAGAAACUGAUGUCUUAUUUAAUGCAUUUCUAUUGACGCCUCACAUUAUUGUUUUUUUUUCUUUGCCUAAGGAUGGCUUGCAAAUAUUCAUAGCAAAUAUUCAAUUAAUACCUCUAGAAUAUCU
rnacentral:lncRNA from 1 species